rnacentral:lncRNA from 1 species
CUGUCUGCUGGGAAGAGGAUAAGGUAUGAGUUUGAAAACUUCUGGCUAGAGGACAGGAUGUGAUCCCAGGACUUCUGAUUCUUCCAAUGUAUCUGUGAUGGAUAGAGAAUGAAGCAGGCCUGUGUCACAUACAAAGCAGGAAGAAGUGGAGUAGUCUUGGGGUUAAGGAAUUCCACACAGGGAAUUGAAAUCGGAUUUCUGCGAAGUCAGCUGAAGUCAAUAAAACCUGCAGAUGUGGGGCUGCUCUGAGAAUUCAAGGUCUUGGGUGGUUGGCACUGUACAUUGAGUACCAGAGGUGAAGAAAGAAAGUCUUAAAAUGUCUGA